rnacentral:lncRNA from 1 species
GUUCACUUCUCUUUUCCAGAAACCUGGCUACACUUCCAAACAUCUCAACCGCAAACAAGUCUAAAAGGUAAUUCUCACACCAGGAGUAAACGGAGAAGCUCAAGAGACCAGCCAAGCAGAGGUGAGAUGGUGGGUUAGUUGGUGGGUUCAGAACAUGCAGAGGAAGUCACAGAAAUGGUAGCAAUGAUGAUAGUCAUUUCAUUCGGUUUUAUAAACAUGUAUCAAUAGUGCUCAUCACAAUUCUAGCAACAAAAUCCAAUUCAGAUGUCUUCGGUGCUGAGAUUCCUUACAGACACAGAUCUGCAACUACAGGCUCUUCACUACUCAAACUGAGAACUUAUGCCAACUGUCCAAGCCACCUGGUGAAAUAAUACUGAAACUAAAACAUUCCUGCUCCUGCUAAGACAUGGGUUUCUGAGCUGAAAUUAUCAAUAUUUUCAGGACAAAAUAAUUUCCUAAGAGGUUUAAGUAACUAUUCUUUAAAACAACAAAUAAUAAUUAAUUCACAAUUCUAUUACUACUAGUGUCUAUACACUGUAACUACUCUAUAUGUAUAAAAAUUCUUCUGAUUUAGUACAAACAAAACCAAAACAGCGGCGGGGGGGGGGGAUAUUCCAUCAGCAUGAUCAUGUUUCGGGAGCAGAAAGAAUAUGUAUUUCCUAAUGUCAGUUAUUAGAAAGGCAUUACUGAGUCUUUACAUAGUAUAAACAGUAAUGAUAUGUCACAUUUCUAAUAAAGAAUGUUAGUGACUCACUUCUGAGGAAAUCUUAGGUCACUACUGUGCAAAGCCUUGACAUUAUUUUGUAGCAUAAUAUUUUCAUAUAACUUAGAAAUUUAAAGAGACAAAUUUGAGAAUUUCUUAGAACCACUGAAAUGUCCUGCUUUCAAAUUCACUAAACAAACUUAACACAGAAGCCUUUACAUCUCAAGUAUGUCAAUACAGAAUUUGCUUAUCAAAACAGGUUAGACUUAAAAUGAUGUUUCAGUUAGCAUAUAUUUUUUAAUCAACUAACUGGAAGAACAGUUCAGUAUUAGACUGUAUGCUGAUACUUAACAUGCUUAAGACUCUGGGUUAAGUCCCCAGCAUAAAAACAAAGGUAUUGAAAAUUUAUAAUGCUGGCACUCAAUACACAGUAUAAGAGCCUUAUUCAAAAUUUUCAAGUACUCUUUUGGCAAAUGGUGCAUAUAAAGGGUCUACAUUUGAGCACACUUUAUAUAAAACCCUUCAAGGGCAUUCCAUUGGCCCCAAAGAGCUGAAACCCAAAAGAACUAAGACUUCAAAUGAUAAAGGCUAAGACAGAAGGAGUGUGAUACACAUCAAGGGCUGCUUCGAGGUCCUCUCCAAGGGUAACCACAUCUCCUGUCUCAAGUACAUUCUCAAGUGGAGGGAGAGAGCAAGGCAGCCAAGCCCUGCCCAGAAUGCUGGAUGGAGCUCACUGUCAUUACUCAGUGAGUCCUAGUGAGGCACAAGCUUCUCUGGAAACGAGACCAUCAGCCACAUGGCAUGUGGGGCCUCCAUGAACGAAUGGAGACUGCCCAUUGGAGGGAACUGUCUCUAGAAGCCUGCUAACCCUACUGCUGAACACCAUUAAGAAGAGAACAUAAAUCAGAUGCUAGCCCCAAAUAGGAAGCAUUUGAGGUACUUUCCUGAGGAAAGACAGCAGCAGCACCUCUGACGCCCAUGAAGAGGCGUCAUCCUGAGAGGCGGGGAUGCUGACUAGAACUGAGAGAGCUUUUUUUUUUUUUUUACAACAAUAUAGCAUGGAGCGGGAAACUAUGUGCCUCAGAUAAUACCAAGCUUAUUAAAUUUCAGGUAUAGUCACAGUAAUUUCUACUUAGGUCCCAUCUUCCUUCCCUAAGAAAAUGCUUCCCCUGUUUAAAAGGGUUUCAAAAAUAAAUCUUAAAGGCAACAGUCUUACAACCUGCAAUCUGCUGUGAUACACGCUCACCCCAUCUAUUUCCAAGCAGGGUUACUUUUCACACGCACUCUAGGACCCCAGGUACAAAGGGAGAACUGCUAACCCUUCUGUGGGGCUCAAGAAUAAGGGCCAUGGCGGGACAAUCUGACUGGAAAGGGAGUAGACCUGAGGUUCUGGAGAAAUCUGUAUACAUGUGUGGCUUGAUACCCACCAUACCCACCUGUUCAGUGGUUUCAGUCUCUAUUUCACUGACACAAGAAAUACCCAGGAGUCAGACGGAGGGACAAGUGCAUCCCGGUAUUUACUAGGUUGUACAUGAUAAGAAACUUGGAAAGGACAGUAAGAUAUAGAGAAAUAAAAUAUAUUUGGGUGAGAGGUUAAUUAGCCACAUAAUACAAUUUCUCUCUCUCAUUCAUUCCAGCUUAUCUGCUAAUUCUUACUUGCCAAAAUGUUAAGCACUUUCUUCAAAUUAAAAAGAAAAAAAGGUAAAAAUCAGUAAAUACUGUUACUGCUAAAAUCCUACCCACCUUCCUUUCUACACACCCAGUCCACUACACAAGCCAAUGUAUAGUGGUAACCCUGUUUUCUAAAGCAUUCAGUCUCUUUAACGCUAGAGUUGUUAAUAUUGGCAAUUUUACUACGGUGAUAUAUAGAACUACUCUUUGUUUUCUUUAACAAAUACUAUAUAUUUCUUACCCCAUUAUGAAAUACAGUAGACAAAAAACAAUCACUGACCUGUUAUAAAAUUUAGCUCAUUUGUUGUGAUACCUUUAAAUGUAACAAAAAUUUGCAUUUUUUUACCCUUCAAUGAAAGUUCUUCCUAGUAUAUUUUAAAAUUAAGUUUGAACAUUUGUCUUCAACAAUGCAAUAGGAAAUCAAUUACAAACAUGCUCCUGCCAGAGGUCUUCCAUCUAAUACCAAAAUGGAUGUAGGAAGUGUAGUACUAAGAGGGAAGUUGCUGGCUUGUGUGUGUGUAUUCAAGGUCAUCUCUAACUAUACAGAAAAAAAAAAAAAUCAAGGCUAGCCUGGGUAAUAGAGAACAAGAAAAUAAGAACAAGAACUAAGACAAGGAGAAGAGGGAGGAGAAGAGGGAGGGGAAGAGGGAGGGAGAAAAAGGGAGUGGAAAGGAAGGAAAACAAAGAAUAGAAGAGGAAGGCAGGAAGGAAAGAGAGCCCAAAGUUAGGCACAAGGAUUAGAACAGAAGCAAAAGUAACAAUAAGUAGGAUGGACUAAGAGCUGGCUUCUUGAAAAGAUAAAAUUGAGACCCCUUUAUUAGACUAACAGAAAAAAAG